rnacentral:rRNA from 1 species
CCUACGGGAGGCAGCAGUGGGGAAUAUUGGACAAUGGGGGGAACCCUGAUCCAGCCAUGCCGCGUGUGUGAAGAAGGCCCUCGGGUUGUAAAGCACUUUCAGUGAGGAAGAACGCCUGGUGGUUAAUACCCAUCAGGAAAGACAUCACUCACAGAAGAAGCACCGGCUAACUCCGUGCCAGCAGCCGCGGUAAUACGGAGGGUGCGAGCGUUAAUCGGAAUUACUGGGCGUAAAGCGCGCGUAGGUGGCUUGAUAAGCCGGUUGUGAAAGCCCCGGGCUCAACCUGGGAACGGCAUCCGGAACUGUCAAGCUAGAGUGCAGGAGAGGAAGGUAGAAUUCCCGGUGUAGCGGUGAAAUGCGUAGAGAUCGGGAGGAAUACCAGUGGCGAAGGCGGGCUUCUGGACUGACACUGACACUGAGGUGCGAAAGCGUGGGUAGCAAACAGGAUUAGAUACCCUGGUAGUC